rnacentral:rRNA from 1 species
AUUGAACGCUGGCGGCAUGCUAACACAUGCAAGUCGAACGGAGAUAGGGGCAACCUUAUUUCAGUGGCGGACGGGUUGAGGAAUGCGUCGGAAUCUGCCCUAUGGUGGGGGAUAACACAGGGAAACUUGUGCUAAUACCGCACUAAUGUCGAGAGACCCAAAAGCAGGGGACCGCAAGGCCUUGCGCGAUAGGAUGAGCCGACGCCCGAUUAGCUUGUUGGUAGGGUAAUGGGCCUUACCAAGGCGACGAUCGGUAGCUGGUCUGAGAGGAUGAUCAGCCACACUGGGACUGAGACACGGCCCAGACUCCUACGGGAGGCAGCAGUGGGGAAUAUUGGACAAUGGGCGCAAGCCUGAUCCAGCAAUGCCGCGUGUGUGAAGAAGGCCUGCGGGUUGUAAAGCACUUUUGUUCGGGAAGAAAUCAUGUCGGUUAAUACCCGAUGUGGAUGACGGUACCGAAAGAAUAAGCACCGGCUAACUUCGUG